GUAGGUGGCAAGCGUUGUCCGGAAUUAUUGGGCGUAAAGCGCGCGCAGGCGGUCCUUUAAGUCUGAUGUGAAAGCCCACGGGCUCAACCGUGGAGGGUCAUUGGAAACUGGGGGACUCGAGUACAGAAGAGGAAAGCGGAAUUCCAAGUGUAGCGGUGAAAUGCGUAGAGAUUUGGAGGAACACCAGUGGCGAAGGCGGCUUUCUGGUCUGUAACUGACGCUGAGGCGCGAAAGCGUGGGGAGCAAACAGGAUUAGAUACCCUGGUAGUCCACGCCGUAAACGAUGAGUGCUAAGUGUUAGGGGGUUUCCGCCCCUUAGUGCUGCAGCUAACGCAUUAAGCACUCCGCCUGGGGAGUACGGCCGCAAAGGCUGA
rnacentral:rRNA from 1 species